GACGAACGCUGGCGGCGUGCUUAACACAUGCAAGUCGAACGGUAAGGCCCUUCGGGGUACACGAGUGGCGAACGGGUGAGUAACACGUGGGUGAUCUGCCCUGCACUUCGGGAUAAGCCUGGGAAACUGGGUCUAAUACCGGAUAGGACCACUGCCUGCAUGGGUGGUGGAAAGCUUUUGCGGUGUGGGAUGGGCCCGCGGCCUAUCAGCUUGUUGGGGGGGUGAUGGCCUACCAAGGCGACGACGGGUAGCCGGCCUGAGAGGGUGACCGGCCACACGGGGAGUGAGAUACUGCCCAGACGCCUACGGGAGGCGGCAGUGGGGAAUAUUGCACAAUGGGCGCAAGCCUGAUGCAGCGACGCCGCGUGAGGGAUGACGGCCUUCGGGUUGUAAACCUCUUUCAGCACCGACGAAGCGCAAGUGACGGUAGGUGCAGAAGAAGGACCGGCCAACUACGUGCCAGCCGCCGCAGUAA
rnacentral:rRNA from 1 species